UACGGAGGAUGCGAGCGUUAUCCGGAUUUAUUGGGUUUAAAGGGUGCGUAGGCGGCUUUUUAAGUCAGCGGUGAAAUUUUGCAGCUUAACUGUAACAGUGCCGUUGAUACUGGGGAGCUAGGAUUUGGUUGCUGUGGGUGGAAUGUGUGGUGUAGUGGUGAAAUGCUUAGAGAUCACACAGAAUAUCGAUUGCGAAGGCAGCUCACAAAGCCAUGAUUGACGCUGAGGCACGAAAGUGUGGGGAUCAAACAGGA
rnacentral:rRNA from 1 species